CUCUGAUACACCGGUGAAAACCAGAUUCAACAGAGCCCACUGCCGUUCGAGGGUUGUUAUAGAAAGAACAUUUGGUAGAUGGAAGAGAAGAUUCUCCGUCAUGUGCAAGAAGGUAAGGAAGACACCCGCUCAAGCAUGUAGAGAGAUUGUCGCUUGCGCAGUAUUGCAUAACAUUGCCAUGUUGUUUGGUGAACCUGACGUUGAUGACGGCGAUGUGGAUGAACUUCCACUUAUACCCUAUGUUGGUGGUGAAAAUGGAUUUGCCAUCCGUGACCAUAUUGCGCAGGCCUAUUUUGGAUAGGAACAUUUCCUAUUGGAAGGAAGCAUGCAGCUGGUGCUAUGUUGUUGUUUUGAUGUAACAAAGUAAAGUUUAUGUUACGUGUU